rnacentral:rRNA from 1 species
GAUGAACGCUGGCGGCGUGCUUAACACAUGCAAGUCGAACGAAGCCAAAAGGAAGCUUGCUUUCUUUGAAGCUUAGUGGCGGACGGGUGAGUAACGCGUGAGGAACCUGCCCUUCAGUGGGGAAUAACAGCCGGAAACGACUGAUAAUACCGCAUAAGCGCACGGGGAGACAUCUCCUAGUGUGAAAAGAGAUAUCGGUAUGGGAUGGGUCCGCGUCCGAUUAGCCAGUUGGCGGGGUAAAAGCCCACCAAAGCGACGAUCGGUAGCCGGCCUGAGAGGGCGGACGGCCACAUUGGGACUGAGACACGGCCCAGACUCC